GCCUACGGGGGGCAGCAGUAGGGAAUUUUCGUCAAUGGGCGCAAGCCUGAACGAGCAACGCCGCGUGAACGAGGAAGGUCUUCGGAUCGUAAAGUUCUGUUGAAGGGGAAAAAGAGCGGAGAGAGGAAAUGGUCUCCGAUUGAUAUUACCCUUCGAGGAAGUCACGGCUAACUACGUGCCAGCAGCCGCGGUAAUACGUAGGUGGCGAGCGUUAUCCGGAAUGAUUGGGCGUAAAGGGUGCGUAGGCGGCCUGCUAAGUCUGGAGUGAAAGGUACCGGCUCAACCGGUACAGGCUCUGGAAACUG
rnacentral:rRNA from 1 species